UUCAGUUACAAGUGCAGCAGGAAAAUCUCAUGCUCAACUGAAUAUUUGCAGUAAAGCAACCUCAUCAGUAGAGUCAGAGAAGGAGAAGAAUAUGAAAAAAAGGAAUGAGAAAUUGUAGGACUCAGAAAGAAGGCAUCUGUUGGAGUGUUUAAGGGCACCGGCACAAUUUAUCAGUGCUGCAUGAUCCAGACAGCAAAGAGGGAAAAGACCACAGAUGAUCAUAAGCUUUCACCAUCGAUAGCAACCUGACGUGGCCUGCUUCAAAGUGUAAACAGAAUGCAAAUGAAGAGUUCUAAGAACCUCAGAGUGAGAGAGAGAGAGAGAGAAACAGCAGGGGAGGAAGACUCUUAGCUGGAGGUGCAUUUCAAACAUUUGUUUGACGACUUUCAGGGGGCAGAGAAGGCACCCAAGCACCCUUCACUGAGGCAGUAAAAGGACAGUGGUUUUUCUUCAUG